rnacentral:rRNA from 1 species
AGUGGCGCACGGGUGAGUAACGCGUGGGAAUCUGCCCAAGAGUGGGGAAUAACUAUUGGAAACGAUAGCUAAUACCGCAUACGCCCUCCGGGGGAAAGGCUUGCCGCUAAAAGAGGGGCCCGCGUCUGAUUAGCUUGUUGGUAAGGUAAUGGCUUACCAAGGCUACGAUCAGUAGCUGGUCUGAGAGGAUGAUCAGCCACACUGGGACUGAGACACGGCCCAGACUCC